rnacentral:rRNA from 1 species
AACGAACGCUGGCGGCAGGCCUAACACAUGCAAGUCGAACGAAGUCUUCGGACUUAGUGGCGGACGGGUGAGUAACACGUGGGAACGUGCCUUUAGGUUCGGGAUAACUCAGGGAAACUUGUGCUAAUACCGAAUGUGCCUUUCGGGGGAAAGAUUUAUCGCCUUUAGAGCGGCCCGCGUCUGAUUAGCUAGUUGGUGAGGUAAAGGCUCACCAAGGCGCCGAUCAGUAGCUGGUCUGAGAGGAUGAUCAGCCACAUUGGGACUGAGACACGGCCCAAACUCCUACGGGAGGCAGCAGUGGGGAAUCUUGCGCAAUGGGCGAAAGCCUGACGCAGCCAUGCCGCGUGAAUGAUGAAGGUCUUAGGAUUGUAAAAUUCUUUCACCGGGGACGAUAAUGACGGUACCCGGAGAAGAAGCCCCGGCUAACUUCGUGCCAGCCGCCGCCGUAAAAC